GGUUGAUCCUGCCAGUAGUCAUAUGCUUGUCUCAAAGAUUAAGCCAUGCAUGUCUAAGUAUAAACAACUUUGUACUGUGAAACUGCGAAUGGCUCAUUAAAUCAGUUAUAGUUUAUUUGAUAGUAACUUACUAAUUGGAUAACCGUGGUAAUUCUGCAGCUAAUACAUGCGUUAAACCCCGACUUACGAAGGGGCGUACUUAUUAGAUUUAAGCCAACCCAGGCAACUGGUUUCUGGUUGAUUCAUGAUAAUUUUUCGAAUCGUAUGGCUUUUCGCCGACGAUGGUUCAUUCA
rnacentral:rRNA from 1 species